rnacentral:tRNA from 1 species
AUUACUUUGACAGAUAAGUGUGUUAAAUUUAGAAUUUAAAUUAUAUAUAAGUUUUUAUAUAAGUAAUA